CCUACGGGAGGCAGCAGUAGGGAAUCUUCCACAAUGGGCGAAAGCCUGAUGGAGCAACGCCGCGUGGGUGAAGAAGGUCUUCGGAUCGUAAAACCCUGUUGUUAGAGAAGAAAGUGCGUGAGAGUAACUGUUCACGUUUCGACGGUAUCUAACCAGAAAGUCACGGCUAACUACGUGCCAGCAGCCGCGGUAAUACGUAGGUGGCAAGCGUUAUCCGGAUUUAUUGGGCGUAAAGGGAACGCAGGCGGUCUUUUAAGUCUGAUGUGAAAGCCUUCGGCUUAACCGGAGUAGUGCAUUGGAAACUGGGAGACUCGAGUGCAGAAGAGGAGAGUGGAACUCCAUGUGUAGCGGUGAAAUGCGUAGAUAUAUGGAAGAACACCAGUGGCGAAAGCGGCUUUCUGGUCUGUAACUGACGCUGAGGUUCGAAAGCGUGGGUAGCAAACAGGAUUAGAUACCCCAGUAGUC
rnacentral:rRNA from 1 species